rnacentral:rRNA from 1 species
UACGAAGGGGGCUAGCGUUGCUCGGAAUCACUGGGCGUAAAGCGCACGUAGGCGGCUUUCUAAGUCAGGGGUGAAAUCCUGGAGCUCAACUCCAGAACUGCCUUUGAUACUGGAGAGCUUGAGUCCGGGAGAGGUGAGUGGAACUCCGAGUGUAGAGGUGAAAAUCGCAGAUAUUCGGAAGAACACCAGUGGCGAAGGCGGCUCACUGGCCCGGUACUGACGCUGAGGUGCGAAAGCGUGGGGAGCAAACAGG